rnacentral:rRNA from 1 species
GACGAACGCUGGCGGCGUGCUUAACACAUGCAAGUCGAACGGAAAGGCCCUGCUUUUGUGGGGUGCUCGAGUGGCGAACGGGUGAGUAACACGUGAGUAACCUGCCCUUGACCUUGGGAUAACUUCAGGAAACUGGGGCUAAUACCGGAUAGGAGCUCCUGCUGCAUGGUGGGGGUUGGAAAGUUUCGGCGGUUGGGGAUGGACUCGCGGCUUAUCAGCUUGUUGGUGGGGUAGUGGCUUACCAAGGCUUUGACGGGUAGCCGGCCUGAGAGGGUGACCGGCCACAUUGGGACUGAGAUACGGCCCAGACUCCUACGGGAGGCAGCAGUGGGGAACAUUGCACAAUGGGCGGAAGCCUGAUGCAGCAACGCCGCGUGCGGGAUGACGGCCUUCGGGUUGUAAACCGCUUUCGCCUGUGACGAAGCGUGAGUGACGGUAAUGGGUAAAGAAGCACCGGCUAACUACGUG